AUCAUGGCUCAGAUUGAACGCUGGCGGCAUGCCUUACACAUGCAAGUCGAACGGCAGCACGGGGCAACCUGGUGGCGAGUGGCGAACGGGUGAGUAAUGCAUCGGAACGUGCCAUUGAGUGGGGGUAACGUAGCGAAAGUUACGCUAAUACCGCAUAUUCUGUGAGCAGGAAAGCAGGGGAUCGCAAGACCUUGCGCUCUUUGAGCGGCCGAUGUCAGAUUAGCUAGUUGGUGAGGUAACGGCUUACCAAGGCGACGAUCUGUAGCGGGUCUGAGAGGAUGAUCCGCCACACUGGAACUGAGACACGGUCCAGACUCCUACGGGAGGCAGCAGUGGGGAAUUUUGGACAAUGGGGGCAACCCUGAUCCAGCCAUGCCGCGUGAGUGAAGAAGGCCUUCGGGUUGUAAAGCUCUUUCGGCCGGGAAGAAAUCGCAUGGGUUAAUACCCUGUGUGGAUGACGGUACCGGCAUAAGAAGCACCGGCUAACUACGUG
rnacentral:rRNA from 1 species